rnacentral:rRNA from 1 species
GGUAGUAGCAAAUAUUCGAACGAGCUCUUGGAUGACUGAAGUGGAGAAGGGUUUCGUGUCAACAGCAGUUGAACACGAGUUAGCCAAUCCUAAGCCGCAUGGGAAUCCAGUCGUAACCCAUCAGUCGGCGAAAGGGAAUCCGGUUACCAUUCCGGAGCCUGUUGAGUACCCGUUUGCGCCAGCCUAGUAGGGUUUAGCUCGUCCGCACCCGAACGGUUAGUGUGUAGCUUCAUGGCAACAUGAAUCCUUUUCUUCGAGAAGCCAACGAGAGGCAUCGGAAGAGUUUUCUUUUCUGUUUUACAGCCACACCGACCAUGGAAGUCACUCACAGAGAGAUAUGGUUGGACCGGUCUGGUAGAGCACGGCCGCCGCAACUGCCGUGUCGAUGCACUCUUCUUGGACCGUGAAAAUCGAAGACUGGGGCACACUUUAUAUGGUAAUAACGCACACUCUCAACAGAUUGUACCGAAUCCGCAGCAGGUCUCCAAGGUGCAGAGUCUCUAGUC